UAGCGUUGUUCGCAUGAACAACGCUUAAAAGAUGGCUUCUCGCUAUCACUUCUGGAUGGACCUGCGGUGCAUUAGCUUGUUGGUGGGGUAACGGCCUACCAAGGCGAUGAUGCAUAGCCGAGUUGAGAGACUGAUCGGCCACAAUGGGACUGAGACACGGCCCAUACUCCUACGGGAGGCAGCAGUAGGGAAUCUUCCACAAUGGGCGCAAGCCUGAUGGAGCAACACCGCGUGAGUGAAGAAGGGUUUCGGCUCGUAAAGCUCUGUUGUUAAAGAAGAACACGUAUGAGAGUAACUGUUCAUGCGUUGACGGUAUUUAACCAGAAAGUCACGGCUAACUACGUGCCAGCAGCCGCGGUAAUACGUAGGUGGCAAGCGUUAUCCGGAUUUAUUGGGCGUAAAGAGAGUGCAGGCGGUUUUCUAAGUCUGAUGUGAAAGCCUUCGGCUUAACCGGAGAAGUGCAUCGGAAACUGGAUAACUUGAGUGCAGAAGAGGGUAGUGGAACUCCAUGUGUAGCGGUGGAAUGCGUAGAUAUAUGGAAGAACACCAGUGGCGAAGGCGGCUACCUGGUCUGCAACUGACGCUGAGACUCGAAAGCAUGGGUAGCGAACAGGAUUAGAUACCCUGGUAGUCCAUGCCGUAAACGAUGAGUGCUAGGUGUUGGAGGGUUUCCGCCCUUCAGUGCCGGAGCUAACGCAUUAAGCACUCCGCCUGGGGAGUACGACCGCAAGGUUGAAACUCAAAGGAAUUGACGGGGGCCCGCACAAGCGGUGGAGCAUGUGGUUUAAUUCGAAACUACGCGAAGAACCUUACCAGGUCUUGACAUCUUGCGCCAACCCUAGAGAUAGGGCGUUUCCUUCGGGAACGCAAUGACAGGUGGUGCAUGGUCGUCGUCAGCUCGUGUCGUGAGAUGUUGGGUUAAGUCUC
rnacentral:rRNA from 1 species